CCUACGGGCGGCUGCAGUGGGGAAUAUUGGACAAUGGGGGCAACCCUGAUCCAGCCAUGCCGCGUGUGUGAAGAAGGCCCUCGGGUUGUAAAGCACUUUCAGUGAGGAAGAACGCCUGGUGGUUAAUACCCAUCAGGAAAGACAUCACUCACAGAAGAAGCACCGGCUAACUCCGUGCCAGCAGCCGCGGUAAUACGGAGGGUGCGAGCGUUAAUCGGAAUUACUGGGCGUAAAGCGCGCGUAGGUGGCUUGAUAAGCCGGUUGUGAAAGCCCCGGGCUCAACCUGGGAACGGCAUCCGGAACUGUCAAGCUAGAGUGCAGGAGAGGAAGGUAGAAUUCCCGGUGUAGCGGUGAAAUGCGUAGAGAUCGGGAGGAAUACCAGUGGCGAAGGCGGCCUUCUGGACUGAAACUGACACUGAGGUGCGAAAGCGUGGGUAGCAAACAGGAUUAGAUACCCCGGUAGUC
rnacentral:rRNA from 1 species